AAGUCUUUGCCCAACAGCAA
rnacentral:miRNA from 1 species